rnacentral:rRNA from 1 species
GAUGAACGCUGGCGGCGUGCCUAAUACAUGCAAGUAGAACGCUGAAGGAAGGAGCUUGCUCUUUCCGGAUGAGUUGCGAACGGGUGAGUAACGCGUAGGUAACCUGCCUGGUAGCGGGGGAUAACUAUUGGAAACGAUAGCUAAUACCGCAUAACAGUAGAUAUUGCAUGAUAUCUGCUUGAAAGGGGCAAUUGCUCCACUACCAGAUGGACCUGCGUUGUAUUAGCUAGUUGGUGAGGUAACGGCUCACCAAGGCGACGAUACAUAGCCGACCUGAGAGGGUGAUCGGCCACACUGGGACUGAGACACGGCCCAGACUCCUACGGGAGGCAGCAGUAGGGAAUCUUCGGCAAUGGACGGAAGUCUGACCGAGCAACGCCGCGUGAGUGAAGAAGGUUUUCGGAUCGUAAAGCUCUGUUGUAAGAGAAGAACGAGUGCGAGAGUGGAAAGUUCACACUG